GGAGGCGCUCACCACACGCCUGAUACCUGACGUCUGGACACCCAGCUGACCCCGCUGAGACCUCACUUUGCAGCCAAAAUGACUCCAGACGGGGAGGACAGUCCAGGCUGGCUACAAAGAAGGGCUGGGCGUUCUAAUCAAAUGGUGCUAAAUUGCUCUGAUAUAAGCUGAGAAGGUGAAAAAGUAUUUUUAGAGAACACAUGUAAAAUACCAUAUUGAGAAGCAGGAUCUGAGAAGUUUACCACAUCCCAACUUUUGGAUUUCAGAAGGAAGAACUAUCCAAAUAGAGAGACACACCUCUGGUUCGGCUCUAGCCGAAUGACACAGCCCUGGUUUUCUAUCAGUGUUGGUCGUGUAGAAAGUGCCGGAUUGGGCUGUCCACUUUGUUCUUGACUUUUUAGCAUGCUGUGGUCCCCCAGGGUACCCUGAUGUAUUAGUCCAUGACUCCUAGGCCCCUGUGACCCCUUUGGUUCUGCUGCAGCUGCUGCCCAGACCUCACCUCCUCCGUGACUCAUCAGCACCAUAAACUGACUUUUACAGUACCACUCAGACUCCGCUCAAGUCCUGGGAGCAAGGGCAGAACAUUCUUGAGCGAUACAGCACCUUUUUGUAGGUAACUCUGGUGAGAGUCUUGCAAAGGUGAAGAGGGGACUCCUACGUGGCCAGAUGCGCCCCAGUGAGUCAGGAGGCUUUCCAUGUGCCCUGCAGCUUAUUUUCAUCAGGGAUCUUGGUCUCGAAUAUGAGUGACAGAGCACACAACCAAAUCUAAUUUCCAGGGCUGCACAAGUCCACUCUCCCUCCCCCAAACUUGCAGGUUGGAAUGGAAGUAAAUUGAUACCUUUAUGGUUUGAGAAUUUUUUAAUAUUUGAAAGGAAACCAAUAAAAAACUUUCCUAAAGAGGUGACUAAAUUUUAGCAGGCUUGAAUAUUAGAGCUGUAAGAAGGCAUUAUUGGGAGACAGGUGGUCCCCGCAUGGAGGGAGAACUCUAGCACCAUCAGGAGGAAACUCGGGACACAACCUGUGACCCCGAUUCUCACUUUGUGAAAGGAGUGCAGCCUUGACAGGGGAACUGGGUGCAAAUUCCAGCACUAUGCUUGCUUGGGCAAAUGCCUUUCUCUCUCCUGGCUUCUGUUUCCUUAUUUCUGAAACAGGGAGAAAAUUACCUUGCAUCACUAUUGAGAGGAAUAGUAGAUGCUUAAUUAGUGUUAUCUGUUAUCCUUCUUUAAUUAUGUAUUGAAUAUUAUAGAAUCUAAGUUAAUAUAAAUAUUAAAAUAGCAAUAAAACAAGUGCUUGUAUUCACAGCAUAAAGCAAUGUUAGGAGCACCUUUGAAAUGCCCUGUGCACCCUUCUCCAUCCUCCGCCUAGAAAACCGUUAGCCGUUCUUAUGCCCCGGAAUCUGCCUCGUCAGCCUGAUUAACCAGCUUAGCACUUUAAAGACUCGCACCUGUUUUAUUCAUUGGCCCAGCAGCAGUCAUAAAAGGCUACAAAGAUAGGCCCCACCUUAGCUGUCAGCUCUCCCAUUCCUGGACCCCUCAUCCCUCGUAUUUUCCUAACCUUUCACCUGGUUUCUGACCGACAGCCUUAUUUUGAGCACAAGGGUCAAGGUGUCCCUUGAUUUCUGACUGACCGCUUCUCAGCUCUUCCUGGUCCAACCCACGCCAGGGUCUGGCCCCCAGCCCUCCGUUCCUAACCUCCCCCCAGUUUUCCCAGGCUGAGUCCAGUCAGCACCUCUGUCCAAGUUCUCAGUAUGACAGGUAUCAGAGGGCCUGCUGGUGCGAUGACAGUGAGAAGUUAACCUGACUCCAACACCAAGAAGACUGCAUGUUAGGUUGGGAGUUUACCAUAUCAGACGAAAUGACCGUGUUUUUUAAGAAACUGCAAAGCUAUGCACAGCAAUAACUCGCUCAUAUCUCCCUGGAGCCAUUUAUACGGUGCCAAGUCCACACAGCCAAACAAAACCAUCUGGUCCAUGGUAAUGGGAGAGGCCUGUUCUCAGCAUCCCAGGACAGGCCAAAGGAAGGAGGAGACCUGGCCUGUGCCCAAGAGAUGUUUGCAACAUACCAGAAAUAUGAUAAGCCUAACUAAAGAUGAGUGAGGACACAAAUUAGGGAACUAAUACUUUAUGAGACCAAUUACACUUGUGCAGUUAUUAAACCCUAUGGCAAUAGUUCUCAAAGUGUGGCUCCCGGACCAGCAGCAUCUAAGAACUUGUUAGAAAUGCAGAUUCUCAGCCUCCUCCCAGACCCACUAGGUCAGAAA
rnacentral:lncRNA from 1 species